UAGCCGUAAACGAUACUCGCUAGGUGUCGGCCACGGUGCGACCGUUGUCGGUGCCGUAGGGAAGCCGUGAAGCGAGCCACCUGGGAAGUACGGCCGCAAGGCUGAAACUUAGAGGAAUUGGCGGGGGAGCACCACAACGGGUGGAGCCUGCGGUUUAAUUGGACUCAACGCCGGGAAGCUCACCGGAUAAGACAGCGGAAUGAUUGCCGGGCUGAAGACCCUGCAUGACCAGCUGAGAGGAGGUGCAUGGCGUAGUCGUGU
rnacentral:rRNA from 1 species